UGACAAGUACGCGAUGAAUGGUUUCGUGCGCUUAAGUAUUCAACUAGAGAAUAUUACUAGGAACACACUCAAGGAGAUUCUGUAUAAGAGCCCAGUAGGGAGCCAUGCAUAGCAUGUGAACCAGGGUUGACUGCGAAAUCGUCUGGACAACUCAAGUCGAGAUGGCGCCGUGGACAUUCCUUCUCAUCGUGGUGGUAUUGGCAGUGUUCGACGGCCAGGUAGAAUCGAGGCAAGAGGCAUCUCAACUCGCCGGUGGACCUUCGAACGCUCGUUCGCAGAACUCCGUUCCUCGCCUCUUACAAGGACAAGCACUAGGGCGCUCGUGUGAUGGAUCUUGCUUCGGGACGCCACGUGACUGCCUAUUCAAUCCACUGUGUUUUUGUACCAAUGACGCUCUAUUUCCGGUGUGUGCCAGGAGGCACGGUUACUGAUAAUCAGCACCCAAGAAACAGAAAUUAAGCUUGCAAUAAAAAAGGUGCCUCCUUCAAGGAGGUUUUGACCACUGGUGUUUUGCUAUAAUUAAUUUGUUUGUUUAUGUCUGUGUCGCUUGUUUGCCAAAUGUUUUGCCGGGAUCCCCUCAUCGUGGAUCAACUACGUCACAAACUGUGCAUCAGAAAAUGUCUGCAAGCAACCCCCGAUAGAAACAGGAGGUGAGUAAUAGCCCAGAGAACGAUGAAGCAGAAGCGGAAAGGGUACUCUCAAUUACAAAAGGUCACCUCCCCGGUUGAAGAGGGUUGUCUCUCCAUGUCGGGCAUGUCCAUCAGGCACUCCUUCGUUUACAAACUCGUCAAAUAUUUGCUGCAAUGUAAGACUGGGAAAAAACCUUCCUGGUUCCCCAAAGUCUCAGAACUAUUGCAUCUAAUUUCAAUACCCAAAUCUCGCAAGCCUCAACAGCAAGCCUCAAUAACCUGCUCGACUUGUCGCCAGAUAUGAGGGGGGACUAUUUGUCUUGGAACAUGACAGAAAAGUGUGUCACGUUGUCGCCAAGUUGGAUGGGGACAGUCUCCACCAGAGGUGGGCACCCUCACGAGGGCAUGUGGGGGCGAGGGUUUCCUCACCCUCAUCUCACGAUAUCUGAGGUGAGUUGAGGUGAGGGCCAUUUUAUCUGGUGAUGUUUGAGGUAAGGUGAGGUGAAGAAAAUUUAAAAAAAAUGUUUGAGGUGACGUGAGGAAAAAUUUUCUCCCAGAAAAUUGAGGUGGGGUGAUGCUCGUGAAGACAAACGCCCACCUCUGGCCUCCACCAUCCCAUGAGCAGAAAGUUUAACAGAAGAUGCACAACCUACCACAUGAUAAACGACGUCUGGCAAACGGAUCUCGGUGACUUUUCAGAGUACAUGCGCUUCAACGGUGGUUACCGUUACGUUCUCGUGGCGAUAGACCCCCUCUCCUGUUUUGCGCGCACCCUCUCACUAAAGACAAAUCAUCCGGCGAAAUGAAAAAAGGCAAGGACAGGACUUUUUCAGGGCAGGUAACCUUCUUACACACAUCUUUUACAAUACAGGAGGGAAAUUCUACAAGAAGACUGUCAAGGAGUUCCUCGCAAGAAAAAAGGUGGUUCUAUAUUUCAUGUUUUCUUCUGUAAUAAAGGUCUCAAAAGCAGAACGAUUGAUAAGAGCUGUGCAUUACAGAAUGUUCAGGUAUUUCAGGGUCACCGGAAAAUACGACUUCGUUUCUGCACUUCCCAAAACCAUGCAUGACUACAACACCACCAAACACAGAACGGUGACUCCUUGGAUAGUCCCAAUUACUCUGGGGGGUCGUAAUGAGUUCUAGUUGCUAAUUUAACGGUGUCCACAUUCCCUGUGCGUUGCCGGUAGCCUGUGGUCAACGCUACCACCUCUGUAGGCAGCAGACAGUAUGAGGAUCACUAAAGUUUGUUGAAUUUUUACUUACAGGAAAGAAAGAGACCUUUGGUCCAACGUCACUCGGGCCCUCCAUUAAUGUUGAGUGUGGGCAUGUGAGCUCUAUUGAUCUAAUAAGCGAAAAUCACCUGAAAUGGCGGGAUCCGACUUAGGCUUAUCAUGAAAGUAUCUGUCAUGUUAUCACCUCCGGGAAACAGCGACGACGACGAGGCAUUGGCAUCGACGGACUGUGACGACAUCGACGGCGAGGUGACGAGGAAGAGAACGGAGGAACGGACUGGCAGUUCGAGCCUGGACUUCGCACGGGGAGAAUAAACGCUGAACACUCUCACGUCGUUGUCUUGUUGUAGGUCCGGGAGAGAUUUAACUGGCGCGGUCGACAGGAUUCCCGACAGGAUCACCCAACCUCACGCUCCUGGCGGGACACGUGGAUGGAGUGGUCCGGCCAACCUACGUCACUACUCGGAUCACUCCGAAGCAGCGGCAGCACGGCGGAUCGGACGGCGGAUCUGGCCUACCGAUCUAAGGCAACGGCAACCACCGUGGGCUGCGUGGCAUCGGCUGCAGCAGCAGAAUUCUUGCAGUGGAGGACAUCUGGCGAGUCCAGGGACGGGAGGGAGGUGUCAUG